rnacentral:rRNA from 14 species
CUAAGGCGAGGCAGAAAUGCGUAGCCGAUGGGAAACAGGUUAAUAUUCCUGUACCUUGACUUAUUGCGAUGGGGGGACGGAGAAGGUUAGGCCAGCCGGGUGUUGGAUGUCCCGGUUUAAGCAUGUAGGGAGUCCUCUUAGGUAAAUCCGGGAGGGCAAUCCUGAGGUGUGAUGACGAGGUCCCUUUGAGGACCGAAGUGGUUGAUACCCUGCUUCCAGGAAAAUCCUCUAAGCUUCAGAUAAGUCGAGACCGUACCCGAAACCAACACAGGUGGGCAGGGAGAGUAUCCCAAGGCGCUUGAGAGAACCCUGGUGAAGGAACUAGGCAAAAU